AGUCGUAACAAGGUUUUCGUAGGUGAACCUGCGGAAGGAUCAUUAACAACUUUAAAAAAAAAAGAACUUUUAGUACGUUUUGUAAACAUACAAAUAAAAAAAACAUGGUAACUUAUUAGGGAAAGGGAGGGUAGUUAAAGGGGUUACGUACCCUUUUAAUAACCCCCCCUCUCUCUACUGAGUAACUAUGUAUAAUUAUUUAUAUAUAAAAUAACGAAUAUAAUAUUUUCAUCAUCAUCGUAUAUUAUAUGAUUGUCAAUUGAGAAAAAUUAUAAAAAACCUUUGGCAGCGGAUAACUCGGCUCUU
rnacentral:misc_RNA from 1 species